GCCCAAAACCAUAUCCUCAAAUUUCCAAAUAUCAGGUAGCGAAUAGCCCCAAGACCAGAUUAGUUUUAGUUACAUUUGAAUUACGAUAAAGAUCCACCAUCGAGCAUAUGGAUGAGAUCUACCCAUUGAAAACUUGAUAUGGAAGAUAUUUUAAAGAAGAACAUUUUCCACAAUGCGGAUUUGGAAAAGCUUUCUCCAGAUUACAAUCCCUCAAAUGUAUUGCUACGAAUACAAACCAGAAGACAGAUAGUAAAGGAUACUCAUUUUCAUAGAUCUUAUAAAACUACUUCGCAAAGAAAAACUUUCAAGCG